GAUGAACGCUGGCGGCGUGCCUAAUACAUGCAAGUCGAGCGAACGGACGAGAAGCUUGCUUCUCUGAUGUUAGCGGCGGACGGGUGAGUAACACGUGGAUAACCUACCUAUAAGACUGGGAUCACUUCGGGAAACCGGAGCUAAUACCGGAUAAUAUUUUCAACCGCAUGGUUCAAAAGUGAAAGACGGUCUUGCUUUCACUUAUAGAUGGAUCCGCGCUGCAGUAGCUAGUUGGGAAGGUAACGGCUUACCACGGCAACGAUGCAUAGCCGACCUGAGAAGGUGAUCGGCCACACUGGAACUGAGACACGGUCCAGACUCCUACGGGAGGCAGCAGUAGGGAAUCUUCCGCAAUGGGCGAAAGCCUGACGGAGCAACGCCGCGUGAGUGAUGAAGGUCUUCGGAUCGUAAAACUCUGUUAUUAGGGAAGAACAUAUGUGUAAGUAACUGUGAGCAUCUUGACGGUACCUAAUCAGAAAGCCACGGCUAACUACGUG
rnacentral:rRNA from 1 species